rnacentral:rRNA from 1 species
CUCCGGGUGAUCCUGCCGGACCCGACUGCUAUCGGAUUGAGAUUUAGCCAUGCGAGUCGAACGUCCCCCUGUUGCGGGGGGCGUGGCGUACGGCUCAGUAACACGUAGUCAACCUGCCCUGGAGACAAGGACAACCCCGGGAAACUGGGAUUAAUCCUUGAUAGGUCAUCUCAUCUGGAAGGAGAGAUGGCUUAAAGGGGUACGCGGGCUUCUUCCGCGAAUCUGCUCCAGGAUGGGACUGCGUCCGAUCAGGCUGUUGGCGGGGUAAUGGCCCACCAAACCUGUAACCGGUACGGGCCUUGAGAGAGGUGGCCCGGAGAUGGACACUGAGAGAAGGGUCCAGGUCCUACGGGGCGCAGCAGGCGCGAAACCUUCGCAAUGCGCGAAAGCGUGACGAGGUUAAUCCGAGUGACUCCCGCUGAGGGGGUCUUUUGUCAGCUGUAAAUAGGCAGGCGAAUAAGGGGAGGGCAAGCCUGGUGUCAGCCGCCGCGGUAAUACCAGCUCCUCGAGUGGUCGGGGCGAUUAUUGGGCCUAAAGCAUCCGUAGCCGGUUCCGUAGGUCCUCUGUUAAAUCCAACCGCUUAACGGUUGACCUGCAGAGGAUACCGCGGGACUAGGAGGCGGGAGAGGCGGACGGUACUCCGCGUGUAGGGGUAAAAUCCUUUGAUCCGCGGAAGACCACCAGUGGCGAAGGCGGUCCGCCAGAACGCGCUCGACGGUGAGGGAUGAAAGCUGGGGGGGCGAACCGGAUUAGAUACCCGGGUAGUCCCAGCCGUAAACGAUGCUAGCUAGAUGAUUCAUUCGCAAGUCGCGAAUGAAGUGUCGCAGGGAAGCCGUUAAGCUAGCCGCCUGGGGAGUACGGUCGCAAGACUGAAACUUAAAGAAUUGGCGGGGGAGCA